GAAAAAGCAGAACACGCCAUUAACAAGGCCAGAACCCCGACUGCCAUUCCUGGACGGGAGCCACCAACACCCGCAAAAUCGAUCGAUUCAGCCUGGGACGCUUGCUGUUUCCGAACCUCUGUUGCCACCUAUCCCAGUUUGGAGGGAAUUUUCCCAAGGAUGGUGAAGAAGGGAUUUCCACACGCCGCCUCACUCAGCCCCGCACCCCUGGCCACCAGCCAGGACUUAGGGUGUAGCUUCAUGACCACACUGCUGUAGGAAGCCAUAAGUUGGAAAUCAACGGGCCUGGCUUGAAGUGUGGCCUUAGGCAACACCGUUCUCAUCUACAUCUGGAUUCUCCAACAAAGCUGGGAAAAAAACGAUCCAAGGGAAGCCAAUCAAAGAGCCUGGAUUGCCAGUCUUCCCUGCUGCGAUCUCCGCCUGCGAUUCUCCAGGGGAAAUGUCCUUUAUGACCUUACAGCUCACCUGGAACCCUCCACCUAGGGCCCGAGGCAGCACAUCCUCUCGUGCCCGGGCACUUCCAGGCAUUGCCCUGAGUACUGGGCACUUCACACACUGGGCUGGACCACUCACCGGAGUGAAUAAGGAGGCUUGAAGCUGUCCUGGUACAACAAUGGAAUGAAGCGCUAGUCUCAGCUCAGCCACUUGGAAUAUGACUCCAACUCUCACAUUUCUGUGGGGUGUAUUCAUUUCAGCUUUUUGUUUGGUGCUAUGGGGAGGGAAGGGCCCUCAGACUGGCAUCCUUUUUCUUCCAGGAUGAUGAUGAAUAUUAUGAAAGUCUGAGGCUGUUUUUAAAAUUCUGCUCUAAUACGU
rnacentral:lncRNA from 1 species